rnacentral:rRNA from 1 species
CGUAGGUGGCGAGCGUUGUCCGGAUUUAUUGGGUUUAAAGGGUGCGUAGGCGGCCCUGUAAGUCAGUGGUGAAAUACGGCAGCUCAACUGUCGAGGUGCCAUUGAUACUGCGGGGCUUGAGUGUUGAUGAGGUAGGCGGAAUUGACGGUGUAGCGGUGAAAUGCUUAGAUAUCGUCAAGAACACCGAUAGCGAAGGCAGCUUACCAAGCAAUAACUGACGCUGAGGCACGAAAGUGCGGGGAUCAAACAGGAUUAGAUACCCUGGUAGUCCGCACAGUAAACGAUGAUUACUCGAUGUUGGCGAUACACAGCCAGCGUCUUAGCGAAAGCGAUAAGUAAUCCACCUGGGGAGUACGCCCGCAAGGGUG